UGGCUCAGAACGAACGCUGGCGGCAUGCCUAACACAUGCAAGUCGAACGAGACCUUCGGGUCUAGUGGCGCACGGGUGCGUAACGCGUGGGAAUCUGCCCUCUGGUACGGAAUAACUCAGGGAAACUUGAGCUAAUACCGUAUAAUGACUUCGGUCCAAAGAUUUAUCGCUUGAGGAUGAGCCCGCGGCGGAUUAGCUUGUUGGUGGGGUAAUGGCCUACCAAGGCGAGGGUCAGUAGCUGGUCUGAGAGGACGAUCAGCCACACUGGGACUGUUUCUCUGCCCAGACGACUACGGGAGGCA
rnacentral:rRNA from 1 species